rnacentral:rRNA from 1 species
GGUCAUCAUGGCCCUUACGUCCAGGGCUACACACGUGCUACAAUGGCGCGUACAGAGGGCUGCAAGCUAGCGAUAGUGAGCGAAUCCCAAAAAGCGCGUCGUAGUCCGGAUCGCAGUCUGCAACUCGACUGCGUGAAGUCGGAAUCGCUAGUAAUCGUGAAUCAGAACGUCACGGUGAAUACGUUCCCGGGCCUUGUACACACCGCCCGUCACUCCAUGGGAGUGGGUUGCUCCAGAAGUAGCUAGUCUAACCGCAAGGGGGACGGUUACCACGGAGUGAUUCAUGA